GUGCCUAGGGAAUGAAUGGGUCCCUAAAAUUCAAAUUCAUCCAUCUGUUCACUUUGUCAGCUGUGUAUUUUCUUGUUACUUGUUGAUCAUUAAAUGAUGGAAAACUU